rnacentral:rRNA from 1 species
GACGAACGCUGGCGGCGUGCCUAAUACAUGCAAGUAGAACGCUGAAGAGAGGAGCUUGCUCUUCUUGGAUGAGUUGCGCACGGGUGAGUAACGCGUAGGUAACCUGCCUGGUAGCGGGGGAUAACUAUUGGAAACGAUAGCUAAUACCGCAUAAAAUGGAUUAUCGCAUGAUAAUCCAUUGAAAGGUGCAAAUGCAUCACUACCAGAUGGACCUGCGUUGUAUUAGCUAGUUGGUGGGGUAACGGCUCACCAAGGCGACGAUACAUAGCCGACCUGAGAGGGUGAUCGGCCACACUGGGACGGAGACACGGCCCAGACUCCUACGGGAGGCAGCAGUAGGGAAUCUUCGGCAAUGGACGGAAGUCUGACCGAGCAACGCCGCGUGAGUGAAGAAGGUUUUCGGAUCGUAAAGCUCUGUUGUAAGAGAAGAACGAGUGUGAGAGUGGAAAGUUCACACUGUGACGGUAUCUUACCAGAAAGGGACGGCUAACUACGUG